CUUCCAUGAAGCUGGAAUUGCUAGUAAUGGCAGGUCAGCAUACUGCCGUGAAUACGUUCCCGGGCCCUUGUACACACCGCCCGUCACACCAUGGGAGUCGGAAAUGCCCGAAGUCUGUGACCUAACCGAGAGGGAGGAGCAGCCGAAGGCAGGUCUGAUGACUGGGGUGAAGUCGUAACAAGGUAGC
rnacentral:rRNA from 1 species